ensembl:lncRNA
CGAACGCUUCCUUGCACGUGCCUAGGGGAAUUUGAAACAGAAAGAAUUCGUUUCCCUUCUCUCCAACUUUUCCUCCAAAUGUUGCCUCCCGGAGCGCCCUGCUUUGAGCUGUGAGGCUGGAGAACAGCGGGGAGCAAGGAGGCCCGGCCUGGCCGCCCUUCACCGCCCCAGGCCGGCGGUGCCCAACCCCGCCCUGCUGCAGCAGCGGCCGGGCUCCGCUCCAAAGGCCGCGCAGUGCCGCCGAACGGAGAGCGCCUCUCGUCCGCGCCCGGACAGGCCGGCCGCAAGGUCGGGGCUGAGACAGAGCGACCACCACGGCUGGAGGCCUGGAGGAGGAGGAGGAGGAGGACCGGGUAGGGGCGCUCGGGCGCACUCCGGCUCUGCCUCUCGUCCCGGAGCCCCGACUUGGCCCCCGCUGUCACCCGCAGACGUGCGCGGCGCCCCCAGGCCUCGGCGCGGCCGUGCGGACAUCGGCCCCGGGGCAAGGUGGCCACCGAGGAUCCGAACACGGCUUUCUCUAAAUGCCGCCGACACAGUGCCUUAAGAGUGCUCCGCUUCUCUGCGAACCUGCAGACGCCUUCCCGGUGGAUUCUGGACCCCGCCCCGCCCGCGAUCCCCUCGGUUCCGAAGCCGCGAGCCGCGCAGAGGGACUACACGCAGCCAGCGAGGGGAGGCACCCAUCUGGGCCGGGCUGCGGAUGCAGAUCUGGACGCUGAGACCCCGCCCCGAAAGAUGAGGCUGCGCCCCGCCCGGCCGCGAGCAGGAGGAGCCAAGGGUCCCAGCCGCAGCGCACGGCCAAGGCCGGGACCCGAGGGCAGCCACGUCCCAGUCCGCAAGCCGAGAAACGGACAAGGAGUGAAGCGAUCCCGGUCACGCCCACCGAAGGGUACGCCCUCGGCCACACCCCACCCACGGCCGGCCUCUCGGCCUCCCUCGCCCCGCCCAUAGCCGGCCCCGCGCACGCGCAGCUGGGGCCUCGGUCCGCCCCAGGACGCACCCGGACACCUCCGGCUUUCGGGCCUGUGCUCUUCCCGGGCUAGCUGGAUGUCACCUCCCUUUCUGUUCCCUUGCCCUCCUUCCUCCCAGCACCUGACUCUCGUAAUAAAAGAAUAGAAAGAGAAAAACAAGUGUAUGAACGUGUGUCUCAUGUACAGAAAGGGAGAUGCCAGGAAAUGAGUCAUUCUUAAAGACGCGGAGGGCUUGGAACUCCAGUUUGUACGGCAUCGUCAGAAAACAAAAUUUGGGGCGCGAUGACGACGCCAGGAAAACCUCGGGUUUCCAGGGACAGCCAGAUGACUCGGCCCGGGACCUGCGGCCUCCGGCAGCCCCAGCACGCCUCGCUGCGACUCCGCUCCGCGCUGAGAACGGCUAGGGCUUCGAGGGCAAAGGCCCAGGUUUCCAGGGGCGACUCCCCCCGUGAGGCCGAGGUGGACGAUCUCGAGGCUGAGGGCAGCAGUGCAGUCUCGCUCCCCCCUUCCUGGGUAAAACACGCUAUCCGGCUUCCCCAGAAACAGGACCAGUGAGGUACAGGUAGCCUAUUCGGUGGGACUCCCGGGAAACAGAAACCAUAGCCUAUUCGGUCGUGCUGAGAGUGGCGGGUUAGAGACAACUGGGAUCAGGGUGCGACGCCGCUGGAUUCCUUCAGAGCGGAAAGCUGUUACCUCAGGGCAGCCGGGAAGCGGAGCACGGAAGAGCCAGGGAGGGCCUCAGGGUGGCGCUGCAGCCCAGCUGGAGGGUCGAGAUGUACCCUUCGAAGACAACCGCACGCAGUGCCCACCUCAUCCAACUAGGCUGCACUGCCCAGUGAGCCCACUGAGCUAUUAAUCUACCACGAAGUGACCCACGUGGUGAGGUGGAGCCUCAGAUCCAUUCAGUUACUCAGAAUUCCACUGGCCACAACAGGACCCCCUGCACUACGGGGCUUUGGGGGGACAUUUGGAUUCCAGCCGUAAGAGAUAGAGAAGAAAACAGACUUAGAGGCGGAUGGAUUUUAAGAACUUGGUCUAAACAAUUGUGGAGGUGGAGAGGUUCAAAACCUGUGGAGCAGGUUUAGCAAUCUGCAAUCUAAGUGAGCUGAUGCGGCAGUCCAUUCCGCAUUCCACGGGGCAUGGAGCUGGAGACCCAGGCGCUCUUCCUGUCUGAGUUCUGAGAGAGCCUUCUUCCUCGCAGAGCUUUGCCCUCCGGGGCUUCCCAAUAACCACAUGUCCUCAAAGCCUGCUGAUGCAAAUGCUCAUCAAAUCUUUAAAAGCAGAUACCUCCCCAAGAACUUCUAGACCAAGCAACUGGUUGCUGCAGUCCGACCACGCAUGCUCAUGCGAAACGCCCAGGACCUCAGGCCGACCCGGUCGCUCAGAGCCGCCUGUCCACGUAUUUGGCCACCAUCUUGGUUUCCUUGCUUUUGUUCAUCGCUGGAUUUUCCCCAAACCCCUAAUAAAACGCAUCUGUCCACCCAAGAACCAAAGCCUGUAGAGGAUGGAGCCCCUCCUCGGUAGGCAGCUUAGCGGAUGAACAGGAGGGGGCUGCAAAGCGUCAGUCUCCCUUUUGCCUUUGAGACCCGGAUCUCACCACUCUCCCCAAGGUUCCUCCUGCCUGGCCUGGCCAAACCCAAGGAGCUGCCGCAGCCAAGUGUGUGUCUGUCGCAUCCCCUGAGGGCGGCCCAGCGUCUUACAAAAGUUGCUUUGCUGUCCUUUGCUAGUUUUAAAAAUUAGGCUCCAGUCCGGGGCCUCCAGACUGCCCUGUGCUCCACCUGAACCCCACAGGGGUGUGGACAGCUCCUGGUGACAGAUGAGGGCUCCUGCUGGGGGUCCCCUGGUGAUUCUGCCCUUGGGCUCAUCCUUCCCAGGCACAGACAGGUAGGUGAUGGAAGCAGAUUGCUUUGCACGCUGUGAGGCUUUGAGGAUCGAAAUCGGAUAGGUCUGCUUGGGGAAGGAAGUGAGCAGGUUUCCUGGGCCAGGCACAGCCCCUGAGCUAUGGCCAGGGUCUGGGUCGGCCGAACCCUACAGCGCCCUGCAGAGCAGACCUCGAUCCUGGGGUCCGCAGGGAGGGGACCGUCAGACCCAAACCCAGGGAGCUUAGCUGACUUCCACUCAGGAGUUUAAAAGAAGCACCGAGUGUGGGAGAGGUAACGCCCAGAAAGUGACUGAGCAACUCGGGAUUAUUUCCAAAGUGCAGAGCAGCUGUGAGGUUUAUAAAACCACUGCCGAAACCCAGGAUUGAACCAGGGACCUUUACAUCUUCAGUCUAACACUCUCCCAACUGAGCUAUUCCAGCUGCACCCCAGUGGCCCAUUCUUCUAUGUAUUACAAUGAAGCAUUUGUUUUAUAGCACCGGAAGAGCUCAUUACGCAAGUUUAGCCGGAGGCAAACAUUUUACACCAGUUAUGGAAGAAGCGAAGGCGAGGACCUGGUUUACAGAGGAAAAACUGAUAGAUAACUACUUUUCUAAGGCUUUUAAUUGCCUUGAAAUCUUUCUCAUAUAAAAAUAAUUCAUGGGGACCCCACUCCCCGCAUUUAUAUGGACCUGUUUAAUGCUUAUAACUUCACGUCAGCCCAGAAACAGCUGGACUGCCUGGACAGCGCCGUCUGUUUAGCAGACAUUCCCUCUAGGUCUCACCUUUUCUCCUUGAUUUUAUUAUGCAGAUAUUUACAUAUAUGUGUAUAAAUGUGCUGCUCUUGUAUGAAGGCAGAUGUUACAAGGUCAAAAGUUAUGAACAUUUCAGUUAUUUUUUUACAUAUGUAAUCAAUUUGGAUACCAGAAAUGCUUAGAAGAGGAUUUGGCAUGUGCCAAGCCCUGGGUUUGAUCCUGAACAGUGUAAAAAGAGAAAAAGAAAGAAAGAAUACAACAAAACAGAAGCAAAAAGACAC